GACGAACGCUGGCGGCGUGCUUAACACAUGCAAGUCGAACGGUAAGGCCCUUCGGGGUACACGAGUGGCGAACGGGUGAGUAACACGUGGGUGAUCUGCCCUGCACUUCGGGAUAAGCCUGGGAAACUGGGUCUAAUACCGGAUAGGACCACUGCCUGCAUGGGUGGUGGUGGAAAGCUUUUGCGGUGUGGGAUGGGCCCGCGGCCUAUCAGCUUGUUGGUGGGAUGAUGGCCUACCAAGGCGACGACGGGUAGCCGGCCUGAGAGGGUGACCGGCCACACUGGGACUGAGAUACGGCCCAGACUCCUACGGGAGGCAGCAGUGGGGAAUAUUGCACAAUGGGCGCAAGCCUGAUGCAGCGACGCCGCGAGAGGGAUGACGGCCUUCGGGUUGUAAACCUCUUUCAGCACCGACGAAGCGCAAGUGACGGUAGGUGCAGAAGAAGGACCGGCCAACUACGUGCCAGCCGCCGCUGUAA
rnacentral:rRNA from 1 species